rnacentral:rRNA from 1 species
GCAACACGAUGAACUAUCAUUAACUGAAUCCAUAGGUUAAUGAGGCGAACCGGGGGAACUGAAACAUCUAAGUACCCCGAGGAAAAGAAAUCAACCGAGAUUCCCCCAGUAGCGGCGAGCGAACGGGGAGGAGCCCAGAGCCUGAAUCAGCAUGUGUGUUAGUGGAAGCGUCUGGAAAGGCGCGCGAUACAGGGUGACAGCCCCGUACACAAAAGCGCAUGUGCUGUGA